UUGCUGUACCGCGCCGUGGUGCCGCAGGAGCUCCUAAACCGGGGAAGGCAUUGGUUUCCACAGAUUCCCCAAUGACAGAGCCUGUACCACGCACUUCUCGCGGGGUUCUCCAGCAGCCAGCCGUCGCUAGAGAGUCUGCACCAUGCACACCUUCAUCACAGGAGACCCAAUCUACGCUAACAGGAAGGGGUCCGAGCCGAAUUCGCGAGGCUUUAACGCAACGAACACAGAAGCGAAUGCAGGAGUACUUUGAUUGGAUAUCGAAGUGCUGGCGUCAGCCUGUAGCUUUCAUGACAUGUGCCGGCGCAGUUCAUUCAGGACCCAUUUUAUGUUUACUGGAGAACUUGUAAGGACUGUGGUCCCUAUGUAAAGGCAUUGAUUUGUGAUCAAUCAAGGUGCACUUGGGACAGCACUCGGAAUAACCCCACAUGAUCCUUUUUUUAAUGGAUGGGGCAAAAAUAUACUUUUCGAUACUCCGCACUUGUUGAAAUGUACUAGAAACAACUUGCGGAAAUAGGACUUCCACAUUGGGAAGGAUGUUGUUUCAUGAAAAUAAAUAGUCAAAAUAUACGAGUCCACCCAUCACGUCAAACUGAAUAUAUCUACCAAAAAUCACUGACAGGCAUUUGUACCAAACUCCUUUCGGCAACAUGAAGGUAAAAUUUGCCUCGCAAGUAUUAACAGUGUGUGUUUGGUCCUUGAGUCCUUCAUAUUGCUUUAAACGUUCUGCCUCCCACUGCCACACACAGAGGCAGCUUUAUAAAAAGGAUGGGCAAGCUGGUCGAUGCCUUGAACAGCUUCGCAGUGCGCAUAAAAGAGCGGAAUGUGAGACGCCGUUAACUCAUCCACAGAGCACAUUGAAUUGUUAAAGGCUGACGAGCUUUGGAUUAACUCCUGAAAGUUAGAUUGCCUUCGCCAACCUAGGACUAUAUUUGGAUGGCGGAUCACAAUCAAAGUAAUCUUGUUGCUGUGGCAAGACCUCCAGUAAUCUUUAAUUUUCAGUUCUUGUAGACAUGGCGACCUGAAUCGCGAUCCCCUUGAGAUUAUGUUCGGGCUCAUUCAGCAGCAGCACGGUUACAAUGAACCUCGAAAUGUCUAUGAUAGAAUGUCAAACCCAUCUUUGAAAGUACUUCUAUGUUGUAUGGGGAUCAUAGCAGGAUGACAAGGGAGAUUGUGGAGCCUUAUGAAAUUGCAAAGUUAGAAGAAAGGUGCGUGAGCAAGCCAUAAGUGUCGCUAUCUGAAAGAGAGAUACGAUUCCUCGUUUUAUCGCUGUAACUUUUGCAGUGUAUGUUUUGAUCAUGCCUUAGACACGUGCACGGCUCAUCAUCAUGCACGACUGGAUGAUCUUUUUUUGUCUCGUUUGUUUCCGCUCGUUCGUUAUAUAUUUAUCGACACGUGCGAAAAUAAAAUCUAUA